rnacentral:rRNA from 1 species
ACAGAGGGUGCGAGCGUUAAUCGGAGUUACUGGGCGUAAAGGGCGCGUAGGCGGUUUUUUAAGAUGGUUGUGAAAUCCCUGGGCUUAACCUAGGAACUGCAACGAUGACUGGAAAGCUAGAGUACUGUAGAGGGUAGUGGAAUUUCCGGUGUAGCGGUGAAAUGCGUAGAGAUCGGAAGGAACACCAGUGGCGAAGGCGGCUACCUGGACAGAUACUGACGCUGAGGCGCGAGAGCGUGGGGAGCAAACAGG